rnacentral:sRNA from 1 species
AUAGACAUAUAAAUAUCAUUAUCUAGUGAUAUUUUAUCAUAGAUUAUUGUCAUCGUAUUACUUAUGAUAACUUUGUAGGAGUUUUAAUGAUUUUCAAAACAAAUAUUAGUUUGAUCAAUAUAUUUUGACAAACUCAACAUAAAUAUACAUUU